rnacentral:lncRNA from 1 species
UCCAAAGUGCUGGGAUUACAGAACUAAGCCACUGCACCUGCCCGCUUUUCUUUUCUAAGCUAGACUUGAUGUCAUGGGGAAUGCCAUUCUCUUUGUGAGCUAUGCUCAUAUUUUCAUUGUGAGUCUCAAGCAGAGGCCCAUAUGCCUACUAAUAACCCACUUCUCAUUGGUCCACAUGUUAGUGGCUUGUAUUAUAGGAAUCCCCAAGGAUUCUUAAGCUUUGGUCUUGAGAACUCUCAUACAUUAUGUUAUUUUUAAGACAAAUAGCUACACAGUGUCACGUGGCCUUUCCAUCUGUUAGACAAGCCACUUAAGCAUUCUUUAUGCCAUCAUCAUUGGCCUUUGUAACCCCUAUUGAUCAGUGCUCAAAACCAGAAAACCAUUGUGUGCCCUUUACUCCUUUUUGUUUGAAUUCUUAAUUUAAUUUACUCAUAUUUUCCAACUUAAUUUUAUCUCAAUUACAGCCCUCAAGAAUGAGACUGUAUCCAGAUACAUUGUGAAAUCUUGCUCUGUUUUGCUAACGGAUAAUUUUAUUAGGUGAUUCUUUCUCACGUUCAUGGCAUUUCACAUUCAUGACGUUUCCCCUCCUGGGUUUUAUGUGCUGGACGAGUGGGUAUAGGAUGCAUCCCCUCUACAGACAUCACGAGCAAAUACAGCACCUUCACAGGUCGGGCCCCUAAUUCAAAAAAAAAAGCCCUGGGAUGAAAGCAACUAAAGAGACGAUCAUUUUGACCCUGUGCUUCAUUUUUUCCUGUGGGCUUGAUAUGAUUGUUUCCUUCAGUCUAGGUUAUUUUUCAAAAACUGAACCUGUUUUUGAAUACUAAGAAGUUCAUUGGGGUGAACUUUGCCUUUUUAAGCCCUGUGGUACUUCUUUGCAAUGACAACCACCUCCACAGAUUUUGGGCAUCUGCUUUGAGAAAAUGAGAAAU